UACGUAGGUGGCAAGCGUUGUCCGGAAUGACUGGGCGUAAAGGGAGCGUAGGCGGCGAAGCAAGUUAGGAGUGAAAUCCCAAGGCUUAACCUUGGAACUGCUUUUAAAACUGCUUUGCUUGAGUGAUGGAGAGGAAAGCGGAAUUCCUAGUGUAGCGGUGGAAUGCGUAGAUAUUAGGAGGAACACCAGAGGCGAAGGCGGCUUUCUGGACAUUAACUGACGCUGAAGCUCGAAAGCGUGGGGAGCAAAC
rnacentral:rRNA from 1 species